CGUAGGUGAACCUGCGGAAGGAUCAUUAUUGAAUUAUGGUUUCUGGAUGGGUUGUAGCUGGCUCUUCGGGGCAUGUGCACGCCUGUCUGGACUUCAUUUUCAUCCACCUGUGCACCUUUUGUAGUCUUUGUUUCGGGAAUUGAGGAAGUGGUCAGUCUCUCAGCAUCUGCUGGAUAUGAGGAUCUGCAGUGCGAAAGCACGGCUGUUCUCUACUUGGCCAUGGAAUCUGUUUCUUGAGCAGAGUCUAUGUAUUCAUAUACCCUAUAGUAUGUCAUAGAAUGUCUUUACAUGGGCUUAUGCCUAUGAAAAUCAUAUACAACUUUCAGCAACGGAUCUCUUGGCUCUCGCAUCGAUGAAGAACGCAGCGAAAUGCGAUAAGUAAUGUGAAUUGCAGAAUUCAGUGAAUCAUCGAAUCUUUGAACGCAUCUUGCGCUCCUUGGUAUUCCGAGGAGCAUGCCUGUUUGAGUGUCAUUAAAUUCUCAACUCUCUUAUGCUUUUGUAUAGGAGGGCUUGGAUUGUGGGGGCUGCUGGCCUUAGAGGUCAGCUCCUCUGAAAUACAUUAGCGGAACCGUUUGCGAUCUGCCACAAGUGUGAUAAUUAUCUACGCUGGCGGGGGAUUGCUCUCUGUGUUGUUCAGCUUCUAAUCGUCUGCAGAGACAACAUUUUGAAUACUUGACCUCAAAUCAGGUAGGACUACCCGCUGAACUUAAGCAUAUCAAUAAGCGGAGGAAAAGAAACUAACAAGGAUUCCCCUA
rnacentral:rRNA from 1 species